GCCGGGUGCAGUGGCGUGUGUCUGUAGUCCCAGCUACUUAGGAGGCUGAGAUGGGAAGAUUGCUUGAGCCCAGGAGUUCUGGACAGUAAUGCACUAUGCCGAUUGGGUGUCCACACUAAAUUCGGCAUCAAUAUGGUGACCUCCUGGAAGCAAGGGACCACAGGUUGCCUAAGGAGGGGUGCACUGACCCAAGGUCAGAAAUGGAGCAGAUCAAAAUUCCUGUGCUGAUCAGUGGUGGGAUCAUGCCUGUGAAUAGCCACUGCAGUCCAGCCUGGGCAACAUAGCAAGACCCUGUCUCU
rnacentral:SRP_RNA from 1 species